CACAUAUGUUCAUAACUUGAUUUUCUUUUUUUUUUGUUCCAGAUUUUUUUUUGGUUGUUACGAAAGCAUCUUCUUUGAUUUUUCUUAGUCUUUUAUUCAACAUUUUUUCCUUCUGAAUGCUAAAGGAAAGAGAAGAAGUGAGCAAUAUGGAUGGUCGACACGUGUUCCACAAGAGGUGACUAGAGGGAUGGUUUAGUUCUUGUUCACUUGAUUUGGUAUUGUCUUGUCAUUGUUUUAGAUUGAUAUUAUCACCGGAGGAAAGAGCAAGAAGACCAAAAGACAGCUUCAAAGUUCGAUGAUGUCUACCUCAAGAUUUCCGUUAAGAUAUACAAAUGGUAAGGAGAACUGACAUCAAGUUCGAUGUUGUGAUUUUUAAGAGAAUUUUCAUGAGCAAAGUCAACAAAGCCCCUCUUACAUGUGCUAAGAUGGUUUCUGGUUAUCAGUCAAGAUAUCCGUCUGUUCCCUAAACAUCAAGUUAUUUUUGUUGCUAUCCAGUUGCUCAAAGUGCAAGACAUUGUUUCUUGUAUUUUAUUAGAUUGUGUAAUGAAGAUGUUUUUAAGUUAUGAUCUACAAAAUAGUUAUCCUCUGCA